GCGUGGCAAUGGCUCGUCAGGAACUAAGGAGGUUUCGCGAGGGGGCGUGCGUUUUCCUCAACCGGGGGUGGCUUAGACGGCGUUACCAUGGCUACAAAUAACGCGUGGUGUCGAAACCGCAGCAGCUCUGUAGAAAAAGCAGCUGAUAUCCAGUCGCUGGUGCGCCGUGUCGUAACGUGGGGAUUUAAAAAACCAUGUCUGAGCCCACGGCUACUGGGGGAAAGCGAAGAAGCUGAGUUCAGCUGUCACUAUGGAAGGUAGAAAGUUGGAAGGAAGUGGAGACUAUGGAGUAGCACAGACACCAGGUAUAAACUGGAGCAGCUGCCCAGGGCCCUGUGUAUACAAUAGCACGGUCUCCAUUCUGCCCAGAUGUAUUUCUGAGUUGCUCUGUAUUUCUGAGUUGCUCUGUAUUCACUUAUGGCAGCAACAUGUUCUGUCACCCAUUGUAACCUUUUCUAAUACAACCAAUGCCGUAAAUGACAUCAUGUGGUCUCCUUCCUUGCGUUAAUACUUGGGGCAGUCAGUGAGAACAGACUGAAAAUCUGGGAAACAGGUCUGGGACCUGUUCAGAUUGCUUGGGACCUGGAGUUUUCUGGAUAAGGUGAAUGCCUUUUAUGACAUAAUUGGAGCAACGUUAGCCACUCAGCUCUAAUUUAUUUACUAAAAUGUUUAAUAACAAACAUACGGUACAGUGUCACAGAACUGAUGGGAGAGAACAACACCCUACAUUUUCUACCGGAUUCAACCAGAUGCCUUCUCUAUUUACAAUAUUUAACUAGGCUCUAAUUCCUGAAAGACCAACUGCUUUAUGUUCGUUUUAUGAGUGUAUGUGCUUUUAGCCAUCUCUUGUGGUUCCAAGUGCAUGUACUGGAUGGGAAGCAAGUGGAAAAUAGAUAAAUACAUAAAAUCAUAACACAGCCAUUUACUUUCAUUAUUUCAGCCACAGCUGCAACAAUCCGUACUGGACACACAGGGAAGUCCCAGAACAGUCAUUUUAAGGAACAAAAUAACAUGAUGACAAGGACCUACAGCAAACUCAGUAACUCCAGGGGGAACAGAACUGUAGACAGCCCAGUAGGCAUCAUGCCGAAAGCUCAGUUUUAAAAUGUGAUCCAUUAGUCUUUUCAAGGCCUCAUAUACCAGAUGCAAGAUUCAUGUCUUUUUACUGGAUAUCUAAAUGCAAUUUUAUAGUGUUUGUAGUGUGUCAAGAAAACCAAUAUCCAUCAAGCUAAUUUUGGGCAAAUAAUUCUCUGUAGUAAUAAAGAAAUACCUUGCACUUGA